GGCGACGGGUGCGCCGAUUCUGGCGCAUUAAACCACGUGCCUGGUCCGAAGUCCAG
rnacentral:ribozyme from 1 species